rnacentral:rRNA from 1 species
UACGUAGGGUGCGAGCGUUGUCCGGAAUUAUUGGGCGUAAAGAGCUCGUAGGCGGUCUGUCGCGUCGGUCGUGAAAACUUGGGGGCUUAACCCUGAGCUUGCGGUCGAUACGGGCAUGACUGGAGUUCGGCAGGGGAGACUGGAAUUCCUGGUGUAGCGGUGAAAUGCGCAGAUAUCAGGAGGAACACCGGUGGCGAAGGCGGGUCUCUGGGCCGAUACUGACGCUGAGGACGAAAGCGUGGGGAGCAACAGG